CUCCACUCACAACACACAAAUCAAAGAAACCUAGCUUAACUUCAAAUCGGAGAACUCCCUUAGCUAAACCUAGCUUUCCCCUCUCCUUCAACGGGAUCCUUCUUCUCUCCGCCGCUAACGGAAUCAACCCGCGAAGCUGAUAGAAUGGCCAACCUUGUUAGGUUCAGCUCCUCCGUCCCCUCCCCAGUCGCUAAGGACACCCGCGGUUGGCUCCUCGACCCUAUCUCACUAGCUCGAGCUUCUGGCAUUUUAGGUGGAGCUUUCACUUGUGCUUCGGUUCAUAUAGGAGAGAUUCGGCCUGGCAGGUUGAGAGGGAAUCAUAGGCAUCAUGAUUGCAAUGAGACAUUUGUCCUUUGGGGUGCCCUAACCAAAUUUAGGCUCUAAAUGCAAGUGGUCUUGACAAAUUUCUUAAAUCAAUAGGAAGAAAUCCCUCAUAUGUUGAUUUGGAGUUGACUGAACAAAAAUUGAAAAGAAAGAAAGGUAUAAGCUUUUCUUGUUUGAGGUUACUUGCUAAGAUUAAAACCUCGCUAUCUUUCACUUAAAAUUUCUGAAGGUUUUGAUAAAUUUUACCACCAAUAGAAGCAGGAGGCUAAUCUGAUUCAAUCUGCUCUUAUUGACAUGAUCUUUAAAAAGAACUAACCCUGAGAAAUCUAUGGAAGAGUUCCGACCAGCUAGUCAAAAACUUGGUGAUGGCGUGGGUGUAAAGUCUUUAAUGCAAAGCACGGGACUUGGAAUGAUUGCUGGCCAGGUCUUGGUAGGUCAGAUGUAUUACAGUGGUUAUGGUGUUCCCAAUUAUGUGGGUUGGGGUGAGGCACCAAUUCUGCCUUUUGUUACUGCUGAGGACCAAAAAACUGCCAUGGCCAAGGCUUCUGAGGCAUGUGCCUUUCUCAGGAGAUGUCCUUCACUGACACUAGGUUCCAUGUUGGAGGAGAUUGCUGCUAUUCUUCCUGGCCAUGAAUUUGCUUCUAUUUCAGCAGGUUCUUCUUCAAAUUCUUGCAAGGUCAUGGUGGAAGUUGAAAAGAAUAAUAAGAGAGGACACAAUAAUAGUAGUAAGCAAACUGUUCAUAGGAAAUCCAUUGAGACAUUUGGUCAAAGAACUUCACAGUACAGAGGUGUCACAAGGCAUAGAUGGAUCGGCAGAUAUGAAGCACAUUUGUGGGAUAAUAGUUGCAAAAAAGAAGGGCAAACUAGGAAAGGAAGACAAAUGAACGUUGCAUGAUAUAGUUUAUUUGGACUGAAUGGCUGAUGAUCUCCUAUUUUAUGAAACUGUUUCAAAAUGCUGAAAAUAUUUAUUUCUGUGAUAAAAGAGUAGAAAUAGGAUUAUAUAGGAAGCUAAAACUACUAGUGGAUAAGUUUGCACCAAAAGAACAACAAAGGUAAAAGAAAACAGAAAAUGAAAAUCCCCAUAUAAAACAAGAUACUGAUACAAUGUAGUAGUUUAUGAUGAAUCCAAUAUUUUUAAUUAAUUUCUGUCCUCUACAUAUGUAGUCUCCUGUGAAAAUGGUACCCACUAGCAUGGCCAAAGAAUUUGCUGGCGUAAAUGUAUGAUGGAAAUGAUAUGACAUUUGGGAUAUCAUCAAGAAUGGCUGGCCUUGUUUUAAUCACUAUGUGUGUAUUUAUGUAAAAAUUUCACAAUGAAAUUUUGAUAAUUAACUUGGCACUAUUGUCUUUGUUCUUGAUACAUUGUAAAAACCAAAAAAUUUCAAUGAAAAUUUGAUAAUUAACCUGGUUUUAUUGUCUUUGUUCUUGAUACAUUGUAAAAACUAAACAUCAUGUUUGGUUCUAUUGCUAAUAUCAAAUACUGGUUAUUUUGAAAUACUAUGAAUGUUUAGAUACAAGUUAGAUGAAAAUUAGAUGAAAAUUUGUAUUCAUUAAAUUUAUAUUUAUUUUGUAUGAAAACUGGUUUAUUUUGCAAUAGAAAAAUUAAAAAAAAAUGUUUUAUCUUACUGACGGAUUUACAGACGGAUUUUUCGUCUAUAUUUAGAGUUUGGAAUGCUUUCAAGGCUCCAAUUUCUGACGGAAAAUUCGUCUAUAAUUACAGACGAAAAAUCCGUCUGUAAUUUCCGACGGAAAAUCCGUCGGAAAGUUCGUCGUCCUUGGGAUAUCGAUGGAGAAUUUACAGAGGGAAAAUCCGUCGGUAACUGGUAAAAAUCCGUUGGUAAUUUUCCGACGGAAAAAAAUCCGUCGAUAAAUAAUUUUAGACGAGGCUUUUACAGAGGGACAAAAUCCGUCUGUAAUUUCGUCGGUAACCAAAAAUCCGUCUGUAAUAAAGACUAAAUCUGUCUGUAAAUCUGUCUAUAUUAAUCCAUUUUCUAGUUGUGUAUGUUACUAUGACGUCUGUUAUUUGGACUAAUUCCAUUAUCAUGCGUUUUCAGUCCUAGAUUUUUCAAAGAGUAGAAUACAGAUAUUAAGCAAAAAUUGAAUUUAUA